rnacentral:rRNA from 1 species
UACGAGGGGGGCAAGCGUUGUUCGGAUUCAUUGGGCGUAAAGGGUGCGUAGGCGGCGCGGUAAGUCGGGUGUGAAAUCUCGGGGCUUAACUCCGAAACUGCAUUCGAUACUGCCGUGCUUGAGGACUGGAGAGGAGACUGGAAUUUACGGUGUAGCGGUGAAAUGCGUAGAUAUCGUAAGGAAGACCAGUGGCGAAGGCGGGUCUCUGGACAGUUCCUGACGCUGAGGCACGAAGGCCAGGGGAGCAAACGGG